UACGAAGGGGGCUAGCGUUGCUCGGAAUCACUGGGCGUAAAGGGUGCGUAGGCGGGUUUUUAAGUCAGAGGUGAAAUCCUGGAGCUCAACUCCAGAACUGCCUUUGAUACUGAAAGUCUUGAGUAUGGGAGAGGUGAGUGGAACUGCGAGUGUAGAGGUGAAAUUCGUAGAUAUUCGCAAGAACACCAGUGGCGAAGGCGGCUCACUGGCUCGAUACUGACGCUGAGGUGCGAAAGCGUGGGGAGCAAACGGG
rnacentral:rRNA from 1 species